AGUCCUAAAGGCUGGUCUCACUCCCAUCCUGCCACGCAACAGCACAGGGUCUAUUUCGAGACAGCCAGUGACCAGGGCUGAGAACUUGCCCCAGACCACCAGCCUCCUCACUGAGAAAGCAAGCAGAAUCACAGUUUUUUGGAAUCUCAGGGAGCCUUCAGCGGCAAUCCAGUUCCUUCAAAGGGUCUGUGGAUUCUCUCAGUUUUCAUGAAGCUGGCAUGUAAUUCUCGUUAACUCCAUGAGCAGAGUUUCAAUACUGCCCUGACCAAUGGGCAAAGAUGAUUCCCAGGCUGGAUCCCUGAACGCUAACUGACAUCCUGCUUUUCUUAAGGGAUAUGGAAAUUUCCCUGGGACAGCUGUGCUCUGCUGGCUAAGGAGCCCACAAGAAACCAGCCAAGGCAAUGUGAAGGAUUCCAAGAGAGGCAAUAUGGAUGAAACCAUUUAUUAGAUUUAUAAGAGCUGAAGGAAAGUGGUAAAGCUAUCCAUCUUCUAUACUUUAUUGAGAACAGGACCAAUGACUCAGACUAUCAGGACAGUAUCUCCAAGACAGAAUUGAAAUCCUAAAGUAAGCAGAGAAUAAGUGCAUACAUUUUAGGAGAAGAGGGAUCAAAGGCAGAAGGAAGAAAUGCACGGGUGUCAGCUGUGACCCUCGAAGGAAAGGGAUCACCCUCUUUCUGACCCUAUACCACCUUCAGCAGGGAUGAAGGCAGUCAGAGAAAACUUAGUUAAAAAAUUUCUAAACUGCUUUGCUGAUUUGAUCUGGGGCCCUGGAGUGCCAACAUCCUGUGAUAGCGGCUGAUUGUUGAUGCCUGGGAGGAUACAGCAGUGACGAUCCAAAUUUACAAGACUCAACAUGGUUUUCAAAACUUCCUUUUAAAAAAGAUGUUCCUGAGUUCUGGAAUCUGAACAAAAUAUGUCUGGUUAUUAUAUAAUUCUAAUGGUCCUUGUGGAUGCUACCAUUAGAGUUCAGUUAGUGUCUCAUCUAUCACUGUAAUAUUUGUAUUGUAACACUAAUCGUGGCAAAGUAUGAUUUGAUAAAUGCUCAUUCUCAAA
rnacentral:lncRNA from 1 species